CAGCUGCUAUUCUGCAGUAACAAUAUUGAGAGUGGGGAAUGUUUAGGAGAAGCAUAAAAAUGUCACUGCUCAAUUGUUUUAUAGAGCUCGCAUGCCUCAGCUUUGCCGCAUAGGAGCCCAGCUGAAUGUUUGCCACGAGCUUGGAAGCAGGUCUUUAGGCCAUGGGAUCUCCUAUCUUUAAAAGACCUUGGCACCAGUGGUAUUAAUGCAACCUCUGCUGGCUGUGGUUGCGUGGAGAUGAAGCCUGAAGUCCCUGCUGUUGCCCUACAACAUGAGUAUAAUUAAGGAUGCAGUGGAACGAAAGCAGCCGCACCAUCCGAGAGAGGUCUCUGGGAUAGAUUCCUGUAAGAUGACAGUCAUCAGGAGGAACUGGGAAUUGUCAUUCCCUCUUUGUCAUUGUCAUAUGAAUGGAGAGAGAUGAAACUCCUUCC
rnacentral:lncRNA from 1 species